CCUACGGGAGGCAGCAGUGAGGAAUAUUGGUCAAUGGUCGGGAGACUGAACCAGCCAAGCCGCGUGAGGGAUGAAGGUACGGAGUAUCGUAAACCUCUUUUGUCAGGGAACAAAGGCGGGGACGUGUCCCCGGAUGAGUGUACCUGAAGAAAAAGCAUCGGCUAACUCCGUGCCAGCAGCCGCGGUAAUACGGAGGAUGCGAGCGUCAUCCGGAUUUAUUGGGUUUAAAGGGUGCGCAGGCGGUCUGUUAAGUCAGCGGGCAAAGCCCGGGUCUCAACCCCGGCCCGCCGUUGAAACGGGCAGUCUCGAGUUGGAGAGAAGUAUGCGGAAUGCGCGGUGUAGCGGUGAAAUGCAUAGAUAUCGCGCAGAACUCCGAUUGCGAAGGCAGCAUGCCGGCUCCACACUGACGCUGAGGCACGAAAGCGUGGGUAUCGAACAGGAUUAGAUACCCGGGUAGUC
rnacentral:rRNA from 1 species